GGAGAGGAUGCCAAUAGGCACCCCAGAGGUGACAGGACAGUCUGAACCCCCACCCUGGCAGAAGGGAGCUUGACAGCUCUGGGGCUCUCUGGGAAUGUCACUGCUAAAAUGGAUAUUUAUAUAUAUAUUAACCAUUCAUGGGAGGGCAGGGGCAGGGCCUGGGGUGGGAUCGGAGGAUCUGGCAUCGCAUCCUGUAGCUGGUCAUGCCUACCUGAGAGGCCUGGAGGAAACCAAAGUGGUUUAAAACAUUUAAGUGUGCUUCUUCAGAAAAAGUUUUGUCUCCCCACGCCACUUUUUAUUUAAACUAAAAAUAAUUUCUUGUUAGUGACUGCUUUGCAUUUAGACAGAGUGAUUGAUAACAAUUUAUAGGGGAUUUUGUUGGGGUGAAAAGCACACUGACAUGCCACCGCUGUUUAUUGGAGUGCGAUUUCACGUGCAAAUGCAAAAACAUUAAAAAUGUUAUUGCUCCUUAUGUGCAUAUGCGGCAGCGCUCCUCGAGGGGGCACCAGCUGCGGGAAGUCUGUUCCUUGCAGACCCCUGACCACGCGAUGAAUGAAUAAAGUACACUGACACACAGAUAUUCUGCUCUGCCAGUCCAGCUGAGGGUCCAAGCCCCUUACAGGCUCCCUGCUGAGCCCUGUAAACAGUUGCGACUCGGCAGGGAGCCUGUAAGCACCUGGGACCCUCAGAAUAUCUGUGUGUCAGCGUACUUUAUUCACCGGUCAUUGGGUCAGGGGUCUGCAAGGGACAGACUCCCCACAGCUGGUGACCCCUCGAGAGGAGCCCUGCCCCCAGCUGGUGCCCCAUGUGAGGCGCUGUGUGAGGAACUGUGUGAGGAAUGCUGUGAAGGAAACGCGACGAACCGCCCGAAAACGAAGACAGACAGAACAGCAUGUGGAGACUCACACAGUGAAAUUUUCCUCCAAGAAGUACUGCAUGAACAUACCAGGAAAACCAAAAGAAUUCACAGGACCUUUGAAAGAAGUGGCUUGCCGCUGCAAACUCCAUGAGACAGCUGAAAAACUGGCAAAGCGGCUGAGAUCUUUGAACUCCCUUUGAACUUUGAGAAUGGUGACUGGAAGAUGACAAUUCAUGUUGUUUUCAGGAAAGCUAUGACCGAGAAACCAAGGAACUCACUAUCUUGUCCUCUUGGAUGCCAGCUAUAAAUUGAAUCAAGUUGGACACCGGAAUUUUGACCACUUUCCACCUUUCUAUCGUGGUCAGGUUUCUUCAUGAGAAGAGGAGAUUCGGUCACAGGCAUGUACAGAAGAAGACUGUGUGAAGACACAGAAGAAGUUAUCUACAAACCAACGAGAGAGGCUUCAGAAGAAACCAACAUUGUUGACACCCUGAUCUUGGAUUUCUAGACUCAGGAAUUAUGAGAAAAUAAAUUUUUAUUGUUUAAGCCACC
rnacentral:lncRNA from 1 species